UGUAUAUUUUGUAUAUAAGUAGUAUAUGUUGUAGUAAAUAGUAUAUAUUGUAUGUAAAUAAUGUAUAUUGUGUAGUAGUUAGUAUUAAUAGUAUUAUGUGUUGUAUGUUAUAUAUUAUAUGUUAUAUAAAUAUUUUAUAUUCUAGGAUUGAUAUAGAAGUAAAGACAAAGAAAUAUUGAGACAAAUAUAUUCAAGUAUAUGAUAAAAAGCAUAUUUAUUGACCAAAAUGGCAUAUCUUUCUU
rnacentral:lncRNA from 1 species